GCCCGCUUGGCUUAGUGGUACAGCGUCUCACUCGUAUCUAGUGAUUGAUCCAGCAUCGGUCCAAUAAAUAUGAAAUGAGAAGAUCCUCGGUUCGAUUCCGAGAGUGGGCA